AUACUUAUUAUUUUGCAUAGGAGAUACCAUGGUCAUGAAGAUUACUCUCCCAGGGUGAGGUUCAUUCAUUGCAUUCUGGGUAUGCUGACCCCUGCGAUUUCCCCAAAUGUGGGAAACGCGACUGCUUUAUUUGUUGGUAGUGGGGGACUGUGUUUGUGUUUUCCUCUG